rfam:Halobacterium sp. DL1, complete genome.
GGGCGUGUGGCCUAGCGGACUACGGCGAGAGGUUCCUAACCUCUAGAUCGCGGGUUCGAGUCCCGUCACGCCCG